rnacentral:rRNA from 1 species
AUGAUGGUUGCUACUGAUAAAAGUAAGUCUAUACAUAUGGCUGAAUAUCCCACUAAUGUUGUACAAGACGAAGCUAUGAUUGUGGUUGACAAGUUUAAGCAUGCGAAGGAGACGCAAGAAUUGAUGAUGCAUGUACGAGAAGAAAAAUAUGUUCAGGUUGAGAGGCCCAAUAUUAUUUGGCUCGACGUGCCUGAAAUAGGAGGAAACCAAGGAAAUAGAUAUUCUGAUUAUUUUGGCAAGUCACGUUUCUUAGGAGGAAGCAAGGAGUCCAUGUCAGAUUUUGAAUGUUUUCUUGCCAUGACUACUAGUUGCUGCGUGAGGAGAUACAUUGCAUAUUUUAUAUUCAUCUUCUUACCAACUAAGAGACGUAUAUGGACAAGAUGCUUGAUACGUGAUUACUUAUCCUUGCAAGGCUGCGGAUGGGGCCCACCAAGGCAAGUUAACCGAUGGUGA